rnacentral:rRNA from 1 species
GGAAUAUUGCACAAUGGAGGAAACUCUGAUGCAGUGACGCCGCGUAUAGGAUGAAGGUCUUUGGAUUGUAAACUAUUGUCGACAGGGAAGAAAAAAAUGACAGUACCUGUGGAGGAAGCUCCGGCUAACUACGUGCCAGCAGCCGCGGUAAUACGUAGGGAGCGAGCGUUAUCCGGAUUUAUUGGGUGUAAAGGGCGCGUAGACGGAUCUGCAAGUUGGAUGUGAAAUCCCUAGGCUUAACUUAGGAACUGCAUCCAAAACUGUAGACCUUGAGUAUGGGAGAGGAAAGCGGAAUUCCUAGUGUAGCGGUGAAAUGCGUAGAUAUUAGGAGGAACACCAGUGGCGAAGGCGGCUUUCUGGACCAAAACUGACGUUGAGGCGCGAAAGUGUGGGGAGCAAACA